CCCCUAGAUGUCCUGGGCCGCACGCGUGCUACACUGACACCUGCAACGAGUUAUUCCAGCUCCGAAAGGCAGUUGGUAAUCAGAAAUAGGUGUCGUGAUGGGGAUAGACCCUUGGAAUUAUGGAUCUUGAACGAGGAAUGCCUAGUAAGCGCACGUCAUUAGCGUGCGCUGAUUAAGUCCCUGCCCUUUGUACACACCGCCCGUCGCUCCUACCGAUUUCGAGUGGUCCGGUGAGCCUUUUGGAGAGUGAGCGUCCUUGAGGCGCUUGCUCGAAGUCAGGCAAAUCUUACUACUUAGAGGAAGGAUAAGUCGUAACA
rnacentral:rRNA from 1 species